GUUCCUACGGUUAAUUUCGCGGCGCCUGUUGAACAUCAUGGUCGCCGCUCUCGAGGUCUUCCAUUAGCAGGGUCAUGUAGUGUAGCAGCACAUCCCCAAGUUUGCUAUCCCUCCCGUCACCGCGCACCGCCGUUUCCCGUCGAAUCUCCCGCAGGCCACAGCAGGCACGUCUCCACUGCGCAAAGCUUAGACAUAAUUCCUUUUUUCUUCAAUUUUGCAGAAAGAUUUACUCUAGCUCCUGGGUGGUAGCGCUCAAUCUGAUGAAUCGCUGGGGAACCCCCGCUGGCUCAAGGUUUUCUAUCCGUCCACUUACCUCUCCCACUGGCGUGCACGGCGAGUGCGACGGCAACAGCCAGUGGCCACUGGUGGCUAAAGCUGCCUUGAUGCAUGUGUUAUGGAAGAUGAAACGUGAGGCAACGGAGAGCUGGGGAUGCUAACGUUGAUUUGCUCUGCACCAUUCCUACAUCGUGGAGAUCAGCAACGAGGGCAGGAACAAUCUUUAUGUGUACUCAAAAGGGACUUCACUUUCCUGAAUUUCUGAAUGCUUCACUGAAUUUGAUUCAGAUUAUGUGUGGCACUGACCGUAAUGCCCCUCUUUUGGAUUCAGGUGAGGUGGUCACGCUCCUCUCACGUGUAUUCAGGAUUAUUGCUUGGCCUUUCUCUGAUUUUGAAUUAGAAGUGCCAGUCAGCAAAUACACUAACGGGGUUCAUCUGCUCCUUGUUUUUUCUUGCCACUAAUCAUUAUAUGCAUUUAAGAAUUAUGUCAAAACCACAACAAAGAUUGGUGCUUUUCAGCAAGUGUUUGCAGUACACAAUUAACUGAUAGAGUGUACAUACAAAAGGUUAGGGUGCAUUUCAGUCAGGGCAUGUAAAUCAGAGUACACUGACAAUGUGUUCUUCUAUUAUACUAACUGGAAUUCAGGUUUCUAUCUUUUUCAGCCCUUGUAGUUUAGAGUAUGUUUUUUGCAUUUUCCCUUGUCCUACAUGAUGGAAAAUAUGUUUAUGUGGAAUGUAAAAGAAAUGAAUACAAUGAUAAGUAGUUACUAAAUAUCUAUUCA